UACAGAGACUGCAAGCGUUAUUCGGAUUCAUUGGGCGUAAAGGGUGCGUAGGUGGCGGGGUUAGUCAGGUGUGAAAUCUCGGGGCUCAACCCCGAAACUGCACUUGAUACUGCCUUGCUAGAGUACUGGAGAGGAGAUUGGAAUUUACGGUGUAGCAGUGAAAUGCGUAGAUAUCGUAAGGAAGACCAGUGGCGAAGGCGAAUCUCUGGACAGUUACUGACACUGAGGCACGAAGGCCAGGGGAGCAAACGGG
rnacentral:rRNA from 1 species